rnacentral:rRNA from 1 species
AAACCAGCACCUCAAGUGGUCAGGAUGAUUAUUGGGCCUAAAGCAUCCGUAGCCUGGUGCAUAAGUUUUCGGUUAAAUCCAUAUGCUCAACAUAUGGGCUGCCGGGAAUACUGUGCACCUAGGGAGUGGGAGAGGUAGACGGUACUCGGUAGGAAGGGGUAAAAUCCUUUGAUCUAUUGAUGACCACCAGUGGCGAAGGCGGUCUACCAGAACACGUUCGACGGUGAGGGAUGAAAGCUGGGGGAGCAAACCGGAUUAGAUACCCCAGUAGUCC